UACGUAGGGUGCAAGCGUUAUCCGGAAUUAUUGGGCGUAAAGAGCUCGUAGGCGGUUUGUCGCGUCUGCUGUGAAAACUGGGGGCUCAACCCCCAGCCUGCAGUGGGUACUGGCAGACUAGAGUGCGGUAGGGGAGAUUGGAAUUCCUGGUGUAGCGGUGGAAUGCGCAGAUAUCGGGAGGAACACCGGUGGCGAAGGCGGCGACCUGGGUAGAUACUGACGCUGAGGUGCGAAAGCGUGGGGAGCAAACAGG
rnacentral:rRNA from 1 species